rnacentral:rRNA from 1 species
UACGUAGGGGGCUAGCGUUGUCCGGAAUCAUUGGGCGUAAAGCGCGUGUAGGCGGUCCGGUAAGUCCGCUGUGAAAGCCUGUGGCUCAACCACAGAAUUGCCUUCGAUACUGUUUGGCUUGAGACCGGAAGAGGUAAGUGGAACUGCGAGUGUAGAGGUGAAAUUCGUAGAUAUUCGCAAGAACACCAGUGGCGAAGGCGACUUACUGGUCCGGUUCUGACGCUGAGGCGCGAAAGCGUGGGGAGCAAACAGG